rnacentral:rRNA from 1 species
UCCGGGGGGGGUAAGCGUUGUUCGGAAUUACUGGGCGUAAAGGGCUCGUAGGCGGCCAACUAAGUCAUACGUGAAAUCCCUCAGCUUAACUGGGGAACUGCGUGUGAUACUGGAUGGCUUGGAUUUGGGAGAGGGAUGCGGAAUUCCAGGUGUAGCGGUGAAAUGCGUAGAUAUCUGGAGGAACACCGGUGGCGAAGGCGGCAUCCUGGACCAAUAUUGACGCUGAGGAGCGAAAGCCAGGGGAGCAAACGGG